AAAACAAUGUUCGGUAACAGAUCACGCAAUUGUUUUUGAAUACACGCUGCUUUUUUUUUAAUUUUCCGAGUUGAAUCAUAAUUACAGGUAACCUGUUUUGCAUAGUUUCAAACACACACACAUAUCGCCAAACGCAUUCCAAUCGUGACCGGGAUAUUUUCUCUCUGCAUCGCUUCAUCUCUGCACUACACACA